GGCUCAUUCUGGUGUUACAUAGUGAGAAAUGAUCAUGUAGAAGAAAUUUAUUUUGGAUCCUUUACUCAAAAGAGUUUCUCUUUUCUUACUUAUACAGAUCUGUAACCCAACAUCUUAUGAGCCAAACCUCAAUUAUUUUUAAAUUGUGUCCCUACGUUUUUGAAAUAAUGACAGUUAUCUACAUACUUGUCUUGGUUGAUUUAUGGGU